AACGCACCUUGCGCCCCUUGGUAUUCCGAGGGGCAUGCCUGUUUGAGUGUCAUUAAAUUCUCAACCUUACUAGCUUUGCUGGUCUGGCUUGGAUAUGGAGGUUUAUGCAGGCUCUCGAGUCAGCUCCUCUGAAAUGCAUUAGCGGUACCUCUGUGGUAUAACAGCUACUGGUGUGAUAACUAUCUACGCCAUUAGUCAGUGCCACGCAUAUAAAGGGGCUAUGCUGCUGUCUAACUGUCUACUUGCUAGACAAUACUUGACAAUCUUGACCUCAAAUCAGGUAGGACUACCCGCUGAACUUAA
rnacentral:misc_RNA from 1 species